AUGAAUGGUAGCAACAAUGUGGAUAACACUAAAAACAAUAACAACAGUAUAAAUAACAACAGUAUAAAUAACAACAGUGUAAAUAACAACAGUGUAAAUAACAACAGUAUAAAUAACAACAGUAAAAAUAACAACAGUAAAAAUAACAACAAUAUGAAUAACGACAAUAAAAAUAACAACAAUGAAAAUAACAACUUAAAUGUCGAAAACAUGAAUGGCAACAACUUGAAUAAAUAUAAAAAAGCGGUAGAUGAUAUCGAACAUAUGAAAGAUACAUACUUCAAGUUUAACCUACAACAAAGCAAAGAAAACUUCAAAAAAAAGCAUAUUUUUACUAAUAACCAAAAUGAAAUAAACAAUACAAACAAUAAUAAUAAAUACAACAAUGUUAUGAAUUAUAAUAAUGUUAAUAUACAACAUUAUACAAAACGUUCAUCUUUUUUAUGUGAUUCUGCAACAUACUACAAUAACAAAAUUCAUAUGUUGCAAAAUAAUAGUGAAGACGAGUUAAAAACGAUACAACCAGAUUAUCAGUUAGUUAAUAAAAAUAACGAUAAUAUAAAAAUAGAAAAUAAACUCAUAUUUGAUAAUAACGAUAAUAAUAAAUUAAUUAAUAAGCAAGAUGUCAAUACUUCUAUUAAUAAAAUAGAAAAAAUAAACCCAUUACAAAAUUCUCAAAUGAUGUGGCGACACGAGUCACAUGAGGUGUUUAAGCAACCAGUUCCUUAUUUAUAUCAUGCGCCUUAUAUAGAUAAUUUUAAUGUUGUUACAACUAAUAAGAAAAAAAAUAAUAAUAUAAAAAAUAACAUGAAUUAUUUAAAAAAAGACAUGACACAGUACGAUGCAAAUAUAUCUAACAUAAACAAUAAUCAUAUAAUUAAAAAUUUAUGCACCCAAAAACUAAACAGUCAGCAUAACCAAGAUUCUUUUGUUAAUAAUAAAAAAAGUAGUGCUUAUCUCGAUAUUAUCUAUCCAACAAAAAAUGCAAAAAUGUUUGAAAAUUUACACACAAAUAAUGCGCAUAACAAUGAAAGUAAUCAAAACCACCAAUUAAACAUAAAUAAAAUAAAUUUAAAAAAGCCAUUUAUUUUAAAUGGUGAUAAUAAUUUAUUAAUAGACUUUAAUAAUAUGAAUAAUAAUAAAAAUUCUAAAAAUUUCAAUAUAUCUAACAUGAAAAAAAACAAUAAUAACACAGAUAAUAUAAAUAAUAAUACAGUUACUCAAAAAAACAAAAAUUUUGAAAAAACACGUGUUGAUACAGUGGUUUAUAAAGAAAAAAUUUUUAUACAAAAUAAAAAUGAAUUGAUCAAUGAAAUGAAAGAACGCAAUGACUUUUUUGUUAUUCCCAAAUCUAUCAAUAAAUUAGAUGCAACAAAGAUUGAUGAAAACAAACAAAAUAUAGCACAAAAUAUAUCUUCAGAUGAACAAAAAAAAGCAUUUUUAACUAAAAAUAAAAUUAACAUUGACAAUAAUUUUACCAUUUUUGCAAAUAAUCAAAGUAAUAAAAAGCAAACUUUAGAAAAUUUUAAAAAAAAUGACUAUUCAGUUAACAGUUUACUGUGCCAUAUGAAUCUAUCGACUAAAAAUAACUUUAGACAUUCAUCAAAUGUGGAUCUUAACACAGAUUAUAAUAUAAAUAAUAAUAUAUAUACAAACAAAUAUACUAAAAACGAGUUGGGAAAACAUUUUAAACUAGAAAUGUAUGAAAAAUUAUUAGAAAUUGAUAAAGAUCCUAAAAAUAAAAGCAAUUAUGAAAAAAUUAUAAAAACGAUCAAACAAAAUCAUGAAGAUAUGUUUUUGCAAAAACGUGAUAAAACAAAUAACAUAUUUCGAAAAAAUAGCAUAACUGACAUCUCUGCAAGAUAUACAACACAAAAUGAAUAUAAUAAAAAAGACACUAUUAAAAAUGGUACGUUAAAUAUGCAUAACGACGAAAAUAAAACAAAACAAAUGAUAAAAAAUGAAAAUAUUAUUGCAAAAAAUGGAAACAUAGUAGCAAGGAGUAAGAACAUUAUGGCACAGAAUAAGAACAUUGUAGCAAAGAGUAAGAACAUUGUAGCAAAAAAUGAAAACAUUGUAACAAAAAAUGGAAAUAAAAUAAUAAGUAUUCCUAUAAAUUUUAAGUUAAAAAAAAACACAAAAAAUAACCAAAAUAAUUUUACUAAACGUAACGAGAAUAAUCAACGUAACCAAAAUAAUAAAAGUAAUAUAACAAACAAAACCAUCAGAAGCAGCAAAAAUAUCAUCAAACUUAACGUAAACAAAAUAAAACAAAUUCUGUAA
rnacentral:lncRNA from 1 species